UGCUUGCUUGCCGCCCGUCAAUUUCACACCUCACACACACACCCUUUUCCUUUCACUUACUUACUCUACCUCUCUCUCCGUCUCACACUCACUCUUCCUCUCUCAGUCUAUCUCACCCUUUCUCCCCUCACUUUCCAUCUUUCUCCCUAUUUCCAUCUUGUUCUCCCUCAUUUUCGCUUCCUAUCUAUUAGUCACUCUCUCUUUCUGUAACUCUUUUUCCAUUCUCUCUUCUCUCCGUCUUUCUGAGUCUUUCUCAGUUUUCCGACAAACCGAGCAGACGAUACAUAUAACACACAUAUACACACAUAUACAUACAUUCAUAUAUACCUAUAUAUAUAUAUACCCAUAUAAACACAUAUAUACACACGCAUAUAUACACAUAUAUAUACAUACAUAUAUACUUAUACAUAUAUAUAUACACAUAUAUAUAGGUGAGUGUUUUUGUAUGUAUAUAUAUGUAUAUAUAUACCAAUACAUAAGACAGGUGUAUAUAUAUACACACAUAUAUAUAUCUAUAUAUGUCUAUACAUAUGCUAUAUAUUUACCUGGAUACAUAGAGUGUAUAUCAUCUUUUAAACACCCGGACAUUUCGUACAUGACGCGAUCAACGUAGAAUAUAUCCAAACAUUAUUGGGGAAGAUGGGUGUUUCCACGACGCCCGCCGUGCCAAAACCGCCAAAAUCCACUGAAAAGACAACCAAUGAUACACAACAAAGCAACGUUCCCGUCGGUCUGAUAGCAGCUUUGAUAUUGCUAUGCGUCCUGAUAGCAGCAUUGAUAUUUCUUUGGGGUAAGUAACUUUUCAAAUCGCAUCGGUCAUCAUCACACAUCUUUCGUUACAAUCACUGAGGAGACUGUAUGUACCACUAUAAUGGGUGGCAUUGCUGAAUAUAUAUGUGUGUGUACAUACAUACAUGCAUACAUACAUACAAACAUACACACAUUUACAUAUAUGCAUACAUACAUACAUGAGGUUAAGAAGCUUGCUUCCCACAGAGUGCUGUCUUGGCUUCAGUGCCAUUGCGUCGCACCUUGAGUACAUGUGUGUGUGUGCGCGCGCGUGUGGAGGUAUGUGUGUUUGUGGUGGUGGUGGGGUAUUUGUGUGUGUAAUCUUCAAAUAAAAAACUACAAAUCAUGU